rnacentral:lncRNA from 1 species
UUAAGAAGCAGGAAUACAACGUUCUUUGCUUUUAGCUUUACACUUUUCCAUAAGUCGUGUAGUAUCAGCUUCACAGGAAGGAUUUAGUCAGGUUUUGAUCCAAAAAGAGUUUUAUCUUUACAACAAUCCUGUGACACGAAGAAUUGGUGGGAGGUAAUGUCAGCAAGAUGGUGGAAUAGAAGUUUACUAUUGUUAUCCCCCUACGGAGCAUUGAUUUUGACAAACACUCAUAGUGCAACCAUUCAGCUCAGACUAUGCCCUGAAGCACAGACUUAACGUCCCCUACCAAGAAUCACUUAUCAUGCCUUAUCUGGUAGAAGUAUAAUUUCCACGUCAAAGGAGAAGUUGAUAAUUCAACUAAUUUCAUCUGCUUUUAGUAAAAAUCAUCUGAUAUUUAAUAAAACGAACAAUUAAAAAUAAAAGGGACACAAAGAA